CCAAUAGCGUAUAUUAAAGUUGUUGCAGUUAAAAAGCUCGUAGUUGAAUUUCGGGAUCAAUAUAUCGGUCGUGCCAUUGGUACGUACUGGUAUCAUUGGUUUCUCCUUUCUGACGAACCAUGAUGUCAUUAAUUUGGUGUUAUGGGAAGUUAGGACUGUUACUUUGAAAAAAUUAGAGUGUUUAAAGCAGGCUUUAGCUUGAAUACAUUAGCAUGGAAUAAUGAAAUAGGACGUUCGAACCUAUUUUGUUGGUUUCUAGGAUCAACGUAAUGAUUAAUAGGGAUAGUUGGGGGCAUUAGUAUUCAAUUGUCAGAGGUGAAAUUCUUGGAUUUAUUGAAGACUAACUACUGCGAAAGCAUUUGCCAAGGAUGUUUUCAUUAAUCAAGAACGAAAGUUAGGGGAUCGAAGACGAUCAGAUACCGUCGUAGUCUUAACCAUAAACGAUGCCAACCAGCGAUUAGCCUGAGUUCCUUAAAUGACUCGGCUAGCAGCUUCCG
rnacentral:misc_RNA from 1 species